UACGAAGGGGGCUAGCGUUGCUCGGAAUUACUGGGCGUAAAGCGCACGUAGGCGGAUUGUUAAGUCGGGGGGGAAAUCCUGGAGCUCAACUCCAGAACUGCCUUCGAUACUGGCGAUCUCGAGUUCGGGAGAGGUGAGUGGAACUGCGAGUGUAGAGGUGAAAUUCGUAGAUAUUCGCAAGAACACCAGUGGCGAAGGCGGCUCACUGGCCCGGUACUGACGCUGAGGUGCGAAAGCGUGGGGAGCAAACAGG
rnacentral:rRNA from 1 species